GAUGAAGAACGCAGCGAAAUGCGAUAAGUAAUGUGAAUUGCAGAUUUCAGUGAAUCAUCGAAUCUUUGAACGCACCUUGCGCUCCUUUGUAUUCCGAGGAGCAUGCCUGUUUGAGUGUCAUUAAAUUCUCAACUCUCCAACUGUUGUCAUGACUGGUGGUAGAGCUUGGACGUGAGGGUUCUGCCGGCUCCUUGUUGAGUCUGGCUCCCUUGAAAAUGAUUAGCGCAGCUUUGCACUGUCCGCUUCAGGUGUGAUAAUUUAUCUACGCCCGACUAGCGACGCGCAUGAAUGGCUUUGUGCUUCUAACCGUCUCGAAAGAGACAAUACCUUUUGAACUUGACCUCAAAUCAGGUAGGACUACCCGCUGAACUUAAGCAUAUCAAUAAGCGGAGGA
rnacentral:misc_RNA from 1 species